rnacentral:lncRNA from 1 species
AGAAAGUGCAGGAAGCCGAAACAGAAAAAUCACUGGGAGCUCCACUAGAAGCUUCAUUGUACCAAAAUAUAUGAGCGUAGAAAGCUCAAAGGUACAACUUGAGUGUUAGCUGAAGGUGUUAUAUCCACCGCAGAGUGGUCGCCGGAAACGGAAAACUAACAUUCCGGAGCAAAUGUUGCCGGAGAUUCGGCUUUCACGCUGAGUGUUAGGUGCAGAUAUUUUCACGGCAGAGUAGUCGCCGGCAACGAAAACUGGUUUCCGAUGGAAAUGUGACCGGAGGUAGAUUCAGCUUCGACCUGAGUUUUAGAUGAAUUGUACCAAAAUAUAUCAGCGUAGAAAGCUCAAAGGUACAACUUGAGUGUUAGCUGAAGGUGUUAUAUCCACCGCAGAGUGGUCGCCGGAAACGGAAAACUAACAUUCCGGAGCAAAUGUUGCCGGAGAUUCGGCUUUCACGCUGAGUGUUAGGUGCAGAUAUUUUCACGGCAGAGUAGUCGCCGGCAACGAAAACUGGUUUCCGAUGGAAAUGUGACCGGAGGUAGAUUCAGCUUCGACCUGAGUUUUAGAUGAAGGUGGUGUGGUCGCCGCCUCGCCGGAAAGGGGAAACUAACUUCUGAAGGAAAUGUGGCCGGAGAUUCGGUUCGGAAAGAGCGACCGACUAACGGACUUGACUAGCUUUUGUUUAUUCUGAUUUAUUAAACGAGGAUUCAAUUUUAUCAAUUACAGAGAAAGUAGAGGAGAAGUGAAGUGAAAAUUUUCUACAUCAAUAAGGACAGAAUAAUAGAUUGUGCAUCAAGUACA